UACGAAGGGUGCAAGCGUUAUUCGGAAUGAUUGGGCGUAAAGGGUGCGCAGACGGUUAAUUAAGUCAACUGUUAAAUUUCUCAGCCUAACUGAGAGCUCGCAGUAGAAACUGGUUAGCUAGAGGAUGGAAGAGAGAAGUGGAAUUCUCGGAGUAGCGGUAAAAUGCGUAGAUCUCGAGAGGAACACCGAUGGCGAAGGCAGCUUCUUGGUCCAUUCCUGACGUUCAGGCACGAAAGCGUGGGGAG
rnacentral:rRNA from 1 species